rnacentral:rRNA from 1 species
GACGAACGCUGGCGGCGUGCUUAACACAUGCAAGUCGAACGGAAAGGCCCUGCUUUUGUGGGGUGCUCGAGUGGCGAACGGGUGAGUAACACGUGAGUAACCUGCCCUUGACUUUGGGGUAACUUCAGGAAACUGGGGCUAAUACCGGAUAGGAGCUCCUGUUGCAUGGUGGGGGUUGGAAAGUUUCGGCUGGCGGGGAUGGACUCGCGGCUGAUCGGCUUGUUGGUCGGGUAGUGGCUGACCAAGGCUGGGAAGGGUAGCCGGCCUGUGAGCGUGAACGGCCACCUUGGGACUGCGAUACGGCCCAGACUCCAACGGGAGGCAGCAGUGGGGAAUAUGGCACAAUGGGCGCAAGCCUGAUGCAGAGACCCCGCGUGCGGGAUGACGGCCUUCGGGUUGUAAACCGCUUUCGCCUGUGACGAAGCGUGAGUGACGGUACUGGGUAAAGAAGCACCGGCUAACUACGUG